CUGGUUUUAUUUCUUGGUUUGUCUUUGUUUUGUUUGUUUUGUUUUCUAACGACCGUACCUUCUGGAGGAACAGUGUCACUAGGAGGUUUUGGUCCCACAACUCCAGUGGAAUGACUCUUCUCAACAUCACCAUUCCUUGUGCUUCAGUCUGGUAUCAUUUUCCUUCCACGAUCAGACUGCGGACUUGUGUGCUAGAAGCCGGGAUAAGACCCUGGACGACUUCUACUUGUCCUUCAUAACGCAGCUCAAGACUCAUCGGCUCCGUGGUGAAUUCCCUCACUGCCACCCCCUCAGCAGAGGACCAGGAGUAACACACUUGUGGUCUUGAGACUGCACAUAGGAAACAUGCAGCGGGAAGUCUUCUCCAGCAUCGACAAACUGGAUGAGAACUUUCCUGCAAGGCCCCCAUGGUCCUCUGCUGCACCCCUGGUUUGCCUCCUUCUCGUCUGAGUCCUGCAGCUCCCAGAGUCUGUUCCACACCCUCACUCCAUCCUGGAGAACCUGCAUGGCCAGAAGGUGGGAGGGAAUGGAAGGCAGGGAGCUGUGGUCCAGUGCAUGUGGUCCAUCUUCCCUGGCUGGGCC